rnacentral:lncRNA from 1 species
UGAUAUUGUUUAGUGUUGAACAGCUAAGUAUGCCGUUUAGAGUUGAAUUGUACUGAUAUUUGCAAUAUCCUUUGAAAUACAAAAAUAAUAAGAUGAUGGAUGGGUCCCCUCUGAUAAUCCCUGUUACGCCUUCAAUCUGUGGCCCACAUUUUCACAACUCUGUUCUUUGGACCUCCAUGUUUAGGGAUGGUAACAGUUUUCAAACAUUUCGAGACUCUCUAUGCCACCAUACAUAUUGUUGUAUUUUACUUCAAAAUUUUCCCACACUUCUACAAAUAGCCCUGUAUUGGAAUAACACACAAAUUCUAGUUGCGUGUUUCAUGUUUCCUGGCAGCGCCCUGACUGAGAAAGUCAUUGGUAGGUACCAGGGAGUACUCCAGGAAACGUACCCUGCAGAUGGGAUUUUCCGAUUGGAUUGUGACAAAUCGGUGACACAUAAUGCCCUCCUUGCUCAUGAUAAAGGGCACAGACAGUCUAUCCAUUCUUCAUCCUUGUGCAGUGUGCUGGAGGACCAGUGGAUGGCAAGUGAAGGGGAGAUCAACUCGCUCCAGCUCUUCAUCCCUGAGGCAGCCAUGUUGCUGUUACUGGGACUCAGGCAGAGUGCUGACUGCUCUCAAACCCUGUUGUCUUCAUCCAGAUUCACUGUGUCGAUUGCUGUGAUUUUCACGGGCACCAUCAAGCCUUCGAAUGGAAUCAUAUCUGAUAUAAGCCACUACGUCCGAAGGAAAAUCUUCUGUAGGCAGAAAAUGGAGUCCACUCUGAAGAUUUAGUUACAAUGUGAAUCACAAAGUGCUCAACAAACACAGAAUGGAUGAGGAGAAGAAGAAAUAGGAGGAGAAGGAGGAAGCAGCGGAGGAGGAGCGGUAGCAGCAGCAGCAGCCCUGGUAUUAACAGUAGUUGUAAAAGCAAUGCUUUAAAAUGUCCCGGGCAUUGUUGUGUUAAAUGCUUUAAUUGCAUCCUUUUACUUCAUCGUCACUACAACCCAUGAGAUAGGGACAUUUAUUUUCCUCAUCAUAGAGAGUAGGAACCUGAGGUUCCAAGAAGUAAGACCACCCAGGGAGCACCUGGUCAGCAGGAUGAAGAUGCGAGAGGGGCGUGCGCCGUGCG